rnacentral:rRNA from 1 species
CGGAUUAUUGGGCGUAAGGGCUCGCAGGCGGUUUCUUAAGUCUGAUGUGAAAGCCCCCGGCUCAACCGGGGAGGGUCAUUGGAAACUGGGGAACUUGAGUGCAGAAGAGGAGAGUGGAAUUCCACGUGUAGCGGUGAAAUGCGUAGAGAUGUGGAGGAACACCAGUGGCGAAGGCGACUCUCUGGUCUGUAACUGACGCUGAGGAGCGAAAGCGUGGGGAGCGAACAGGAUUAGAUACCCUGGUAGUCCACGCCGUAAACGAUGAGUGCUAAGUGUUAGGGGGUUUCCGCCCCUUAGUGCUGCAGCUAACGCAUUAAGCACUCCGCCUGGGGAGUACGGUCGCAAGACUGAAACUCAAAGGAAUUGACGGGGGCCCGCACAAGCGGUGGAGCAUGUGGUUUAAUUCGAAGCAACGCGAAGAACCUUACCAGGUCUUGACAUCCUCUGACAAUCCUAGAGAUAGGACGUCCCCUUCGGGGGCAGAGUGACAGGUGGUGCAUGGUUGUCGUCAGCUCGUGUCGUGAGAUGUUGGGUUAAGUCCCGCAACGAGCGCAACCCUUGAUCUUAGUUGCCAGCAUUCAGUUGGGCACUCUAAGGUGACUGCCGGUGACAAACCGGAGGAAGGUGGGGAUGACGUCAAAUCAUCAUGCCCCUUAUGACCUGGGCUACACACGUGCUACAAUGGACAGAACAAAGGGCAGCGAAACCGCGAGGUUAAGCCAAUCCCACAAAUCUGUUCUCAGUUCGGAUCGCAGUCUGCAACUCGACUGCGUGAAGCUGGAAUCGCUAGUAAU